UGCUGAUAAGAGAGGGUGGCUAGCGUUCGUCACUGCACAGCUGUCCAGAGCUGACUGAGAAAUGAAAACACAAUUAAGCCAAAACACACACACACACACACACACACUUCAUUUGAAGAACUAAGAAGGAUGAAGGGGAGAGAGGAGAGAGGGCACUACUUAACAGUCCAAACCCUUCUCCUUAAAACACACGCUACUAAACGGAUGAGUAUACUGGUGGUGCACUAUGGUUUGGGGCUUCAGAAAACCACAGAAGACUGAAGACAAAUCUCAACACAGCUAUUUCUGGAUACUAUUGACAACGCCGAGAGAAAGCAGUGAUCGUGAUAGAAGAGACCUUAGUGGGGCGAAGGUUUUGGAGCAGUGGCUUCUUCCUUGCCGAGCGGAUUUUCCCAUGAUGUGGCACUGAGUUUGAAGGUUACGUGGUGGAGAAAUGUGGCUCCUACAAAAAAGAGGAUCUGAAGACAGUUUAGUCAAAGCUGAACGAAGACAAGGCUUCAAAUGGAUUAAAAGUGUUGUA